rnacentral:lncRNA from 1 species
GCACAUUGUGACAUUGCCAGUUUCAACAUCUUUGUUUUCAUCCUUACACUUUUUACCUCAGGGUCAUUAGAAAGCCACUACAGAUCUAGGCAUCUAAGCAGGAAUAAGAGAGGAAAGGCAACUCUAGCCACAUUAAUCACUUUUAUCAGGAAGAUAAAUGCUUUUCCCGAAUCUUUCAACAGGCUUUCAUUUUGCAUUUGGCAUAUUUUUGUCAUAUAGCCUUCCCUAGCUGCAAGGGAGGCUUUUCAAACUUCUUUAUGGAAUUCAGCAAGAAAGUAAAGAGUUUCAAAAGAGCAUAAAGGAUCAGAUGCAAAUGUUUUGUUGCCUCAGUUUUCCUGUUUAAAAGCCAUUGAGGUAGGUGCCAAAAAAUUCAUGGCUAGCCUAUUACAAAUAAAAGUUGAUAGCAGUACCUCUCUUGGUU